rnacentral:rRNA from 1 species
UACGUAGGGUGCAAGCGUUGUCCGGAAUUAUUGGGCGUAAAGAGCUCGUAGGCGGUUCGUCGCGUCGGCUGUGAAAACCCGGAGCUCAACUCCGGGCCUGCAGUCGAUACGGGCGGACUAGAGUACUGCAGGGGAGACUGGAAUUCCUGGUGUAGCGGUGGAAUGCGCAGAUAUCAGGAGGAACACCGGUGGCGAAGGCGGGUCUCUGGGCAGUAACUGACGCUGAGGAGCGAAAGCGUGGGGAGCGAACAGG